GGAAGGCGAUGAAAGGUUCUGGGCACUUGGUGCUUUCUAGAAUGGAGCUGUGGCUCUGUACAGCACUUUAGAAAGCCAGAAGCAGCUGACAGCUUGGGCAGGCUGGAAAAGUGCAUGACAUCAGGCUAAAUACAUCAAAUUUCUUCUCAGGUCAUCCUGAGUUCACUAGACCUGGAAUGGAGCAUGGUGCUUAUUCUCACUGUUGAGUUAGAAGUGUAAUAACUAGUCUGUUAGAUGGUGCCCAGUGGGCCACAUGUCUUAGUAUGUAUCCUUUUCUCUUCUCUCCCGCAUUGAACCUGGACUGGACCUGUGACUCUCUUUAACCAACGGAACUUGGCAGAAUCUAGUGCUGGUCCUGGAACUAAGUCUUGAGAAGACCUGGAGGCUUCCACUUCUGCGCUUUUGGAAAUUCUGAGCUUCCGUGUUAGAAGAGUAGCUACCCUUCUGGAGACACUACAUGGAAAGACCUCAUGAAGAGGCCAUAUGGAGAGGGAGAAGCCUUGUCCAACCAUCUCCACCAAGGCCCCAGACAUAUGAGAGAGCCAACUUGGACAAUCUGGUCCUGUUGAGCCCCCAGAUGCCCACAGUCUCAGUUGACAACAUGUGGAGCAGAAGAACUGCCCAGAUGAGCCCAGUCAACCCAGUGAAUCAUGAGAAUAAGGAAAUGGUUUUUGCUUAAAGCUUUUGCUUUGAAGUGGUUCCUUAUGCAGCAGUAGAUAUCUGAAACAGGGGGCAUUGAUUAACUUGUCCACACAUAGCCUGCAGCAAUUUGACGAUUACAGUUGAGGAUUUCCUACCCAAGGACUGGUUUUCCGAGGCAGUUGCCACCAAGUCUUUGGUAAGUCUUGAGUACACACGCACAUUUAAAAUAAUUUUUUCUUUCUGGUGAAUG
rnacentral:lncRNA from 1 species